rnacentral:sRNA from 1 species
CUCGAAGGCUGGUCAAGGCUAUGUGCCCACUCGAUGCAAGUACUGCAAAUGUCAGAACUCAGGGGAAGUAACUUGUGAAAUGAUUGAGUGCAGCAGUAUUCCUGGGUGCAAAAACUACGAACUGCCACCUGGUGGAUGUUGUCCAAUGUGUGUAGAUGAUGGACCACUCAUCAUAAUUUAAAGCAAACGUUGACGUCACAUUCAAGUUUUGACCUAACCUUUCACCUUUUGAACUUUGUUUAAAUGUUUCAAAUAAAACUUUAUGUUUUUUUUUUUCUA